rnacentral:rRNA from 1 species
UAGGGNNUCNNCGGCAAUGGGGGCAACCCUGACCGAGCAACGCCGCGUGAGUGAAGAAGGUUUUCGGAUCGUAAAGCUCUGUUGUAAGUCAAGAACGAGUGUGAGAGUGGAAAGUUCACACUGUGACGGUAGCUUACCAGAAAGGGACGGCUAACUACGUGCCAGCAGCCGCGGUAAUACGUAGGUCCCGAGCGUUGUCCGGAUUUAUUGGGCGUAAAGCGAGCGCAGGCGGUUUGAUAAGUCUGAAGUUAAAGGCUGUGGCUCAACCAUAGUUCGCUUUGGAAACUGUCAAACUUGAGUGCAGAAGGGGAGAGUGGAAUUCCAUGUGUAGCGGUGAAAUGCGUAGAUAUAUGGAGGAACACCGGUGGCGAAAGCGGCUCUCUGGUCUGUAACUGACGCUGAGGCUCGAAAGCGUGGGGAGCGAACAGGAUUAGAUACCCUGGUAGUCCACGCCGUAAACGAUGAGUGCUAGGUGUUGGGUCCUUUCCGGGAUUCAGUGCCGCAGCUAACGCAUUAAGCACUCCGCCUGGGGAGUACGACCGCAAGGUUG